AUACGUAGGGUGUUAGCGUUGUUCGGAAUUACUGGGCGUAAAGGGAGUGUAGGUGGAAACGUAAGUUAGGAGUGAAAUUUACAGGCUUAACCUGUAAACUGCUUUUAAUACUACGUAUCUAGAGUAUGGGAGAGGAUAAUGGAAUUUCAGGUGUAGCGGUAAAAUGCGUAGAUAUCUGAAAGAACACCAGUUGCGAAGGCGGUUAUCUGGCCCAAUACUGACACUGAGGCUCGAAAGUUGGGGGAGCAAACAGGAUUAGAUACCCUGGUAGUCCCAACCGUAAACGAUGGACACUAGAUGUUGGAUACUUUACAGUAUUCGGUGUCGUAGCUAACGCAUUAAGUGUCCCGCCUGGGGAGUACGCUCGCAAGGGUGAA
rnacentral:rRNA from 1 species